rnacentral:snRNA from 1 species
UUGCUUUGGCAGCACAUAUACUAAAACGGAAACAGUACAGAGAAGACAAGCACGGCCCCUGCGCAAGGAUGACACUCAAAUUCAUGAAGCGUUCAAUAUCUUU